rnacentral:rRNA from 1 species
GACGAACGCUGGCGGCGUGCCUAACACAUGCAAGUCGAGCGAAUGAAGUUCCUUCGGGAACGGAUUUAGCGGCGGACGGGUGAGUAACACGUGGGCAACCUGCCUCAUAGAGGGGAAUAGCCUUCCGAAAGGAAGAUUAAUACCGCAUAAGAUUGUAGUACCGCAUGGUUCAGCAAUUAAAGGAGCAAUCCGCUAUGAGAUGGGCCCGCGGCGCAUUAGCUAGUUGGUGAGGUAACGGCUCACCAAGGCGACGAUGCGUAGCCGACCUGAGAGGGUGAUCGGCCACAUUGGGACUGAGACACGGCCCAGACUCCUACGGGAGGCAGCAGUGGGGAAUAUUGCACAAUGGGGGAAACCCUGAUGCAGCAACGCCGCGUGAGUGAUGACGGCCUUCGGGUUGUAAAGCUCUGUCUUCAGGGACGAUAAUGACGGUACCUGAGGAGGAAGCCACGGCUAACUACGUGCCAGCCGCCGCAGUAACAC